UACGUAGGGUGCAAGCGUUGUCCGGAAUUAUUGGGCGUAAAGAGCUCGUAGGCGGUCUGUCACGUCGGCUGUGAAAACCCGAGGCUCAACCUCGGGCCUGCAGUCGAUACGGGCAGACUAGAGUUCGGUAGGGGAGACUGGAAUUCCUGGUGUAGCGGUGAAAUGCGCAGAUAUCAGGAGGAACACCGGUGGCGAAGGCGGGUCUCUGGGCCGAAACUGACGCUGAGGAGCGAAAGCGUGGGGAGCGAACAG
rnacentral:rRNA from 1 species